rnacentral:rRNA from 1 species
GAUGAACGCUAGCUACAGGCUUAACACAUGCAAGUCGAGGGACCGGCGCACGGGUGAGUAACACGUAUCCAACCUGCCCUUUACUCGGGGAUAGCCUUUCGAAAGAAAGAUUAAUACCCGAUAUAAAGGAUGGGGAUGCGUUCCAUUAGGUUGUUGGUGAGGUAACGGCCCACCAAGCCUUCGAUGGAUAGGGGUGCUGAGAGGAAGGUCCCCCACGUUUGAACUGAGACCCGGUCCAAAAUCCUACGGGAGGCAGCAGUGAGGCAUAUUGGUCAAUGGGCGCUAGCCUGACCCAGCCAAGUAGCGUGUAGGAUGAAGGCUUUUGGGUCGUAAACUUCUUUUAUAUAAGAAUAUGUAUUAUAUGAAUAAGGAUCGGCUAACUCCGUGCCAGCAGCCGCGGUAAUUC